CUCGCGGCCUAUCAGCUUGUUGGUGAGGUAAUGGCUCACCAAGGCGUCGACGGGUAGCCGGCCUGAGAGGGUGACCGGCCACACUGGGACUGAGACACGGCCCAGACUCCUACGGGAGGCAGCAGUGGGGAAUAUUGCACAAUGGGCGGAAGCCUGAUGCAGCAACGCCGCGUGAGGGAUGACGGCCUUCGGGUUGUAAACCUCUUUUAGCAGGGAAGAAGCGAAAGUGACGGUACCUGCAGAAAAAGCGCCGGCUAACUACGUGCCAGCAGCCGCGGUAAUACGUAGGGCGCAAGCGUUAUCCGGAAUUAUUGGGCGUAAAGAGCUCGUAGGCGGUUUGUCGCGUCUGCUGUGAAAUCCCGAGGCUCAACCUCGGGCCUGCAGUGGGUACGGGCAGACUAGAGUGCGGUAGGGGAGAUUGGAAUUCCUGGUGUAGCGGUGGAAUGCGCAGAUAUCAGGAGGAACACCGAUGGCGAAGGCAGAUCUCUGGGCCGUAACUGACGCUGAGGAGCGAAAGGGUGGGGAGCAAACAGGCUUAGAUACCCUGGUAGUCCACCCCGUAAACGUUGGGAACUAGUUGUGGGGACCAUUCCACGGUUUCCGUGACGCAGCUAACGCA
rnacentral:rRNA from 2 species